rnacentral:rRNA from 1 species
UACAGAGGUGACAAACGUUGUCCGGAAUUAUUGGGCGUAAAGGGCGCGUAGGUGGUUGAGUAAGUCAGGUGUGGAAGCUCUGGGCUUAACCCAGGAAUUGCAUCUGAUACUGCUCGGCUUGAGUACGGUAGAGGAGGGUGGAAUUCCCAGUGUAGCGGUGAAAUGCGUAGAUAUUGGGAGGAACACCGGUGGCGAAGGCGGCCCUCUGGACCGAAACUGACACUGAAGCGCGAAAGCUAGGGGAGCAAACGGG